UACGGAGGAUCCAAGCGUUAUCCGGAAUCAUUGGGUUUAAAGGGUCCGUAGGCGGUUUAAUAAGUCAGUGGUGAAAGCCCAUCGCCCAACGGUGGAACGGCCAUUGAUACUGUUAAACUUGAAUUAUUAGGAAGUAACUAGAAUAUGUAGUGUAGCGGUGAAAUGCUUAGAGAUUACAUGGAAUACCAAUUGCGAAGGCAGGUUACUACUAAUGGAUUGACGCUGAUGGACGAAAGCGUGGGUAGCGAACAGG
rnacentral:rRNA from 1 species